rnacentral:misc_RNA from 1 species
GGCACUUUAAAAAAUCCCUUAAUUGAUGAAAGCAAUCCAAACAAUUACAAUCUGUCUGUGAGGUUAAAUCCAUACAAGGGUGAAAAAAAUCCCCCCAAAUGCAUAUAAUAAACAUCAAACCAUAUCCCAGAAGAGCAAACCAAGAAAUGGGAGCUUUUUGGACCAUGAUUUACUGUAGUCCUAACAUCACCUUAUCCAUCAAUAAAGCAUCUUGAUUUCUCAUACAAGAACAAGAUAACUCUAAUCCACAAUCUAAAAAAGAACCCUAUGCAGCCAAAAUUCACUUCUAAGUGAAUUAGUUUCUACAUAUGUUCAUAUUUAUACACGGUACAGCCGGAUAUUCAUAACCUACCAUUGGAAAAACAAGAGAAAAGAAAAUUGUAUGUACA